rnacentral:rRNA from 1 species
GACGAACGCUGGCGGCGUGCCUAAUACAUGCAAGUAGAACGCUGAAGAGAGGAGCUUAUUCUACUUGGAUGAGCUGCGAACGGGUGAGUAACGCGUAGGUAACCUGCCUUGUAGCGGGGGAUAACAAUUGGAAACGAAUGCUAAUACCGCAUAAAAAUGGAUGACACAUGUUAUAUAUUUGAAAGGGGCAAUUGCAUCACUAAAAGAUGAACCUGCGUUGUAUUAGCUAGUAGGUGAGGUAAAGGCUCACCCAGGCGACGAUACAUAGCCGACCUGGGAGGGUGAUCGGCCACACUGGGACUGAGACACGGCCCAGACUCCUACGGGAGGCAGCAGUAGGGAAUCUUCGGCAAUGGGGGCAACCCUGACCGAGCAACGCCGCGUGAGGGAAGAAGGUUUUCGGAUCGUAAAACUCUGUUGUAAGUCAAGAACGGGUGUGAGAGUGGAAAGUUCACACUGUGACGGUAGCUUACCAGAAAGGGACGGCUAACUACGUG